GACGAACGCUGGCGGCGUGCUUAACACAUGCAAGUCGAACGGGCCUUGUCCCCUUUUUUUUGGGGGUGGGGUUAGUGGCGAACGGGUGAGUAACACGUGAGUAACCUGCCCCUCACUUCUGGAUAACCGCUUGAAAGGGUGGCUAAUACGGGGUGUUCUGGCCUGCUCGCAUGGGUGGGUUUGGAAAGAUUCGACCGGUUUUGGUUGGUUUGGUGGGGGAUGGGCUCGCGGCCUAUCAGCUUGUUGGUGGGGUGAUGGGCUGCCAAGGCUUUGACGGGUAGCCGGCCUGAGAGGGUGGGCGGUCACACUGGGACUGAGACACGGCCCAGACUCCUACGGGAGGCAGCAGUGGGGAAUAUUGCACAAUGGGCGCAAGCCUGAUGCAGCGACGCCGCGUGAGGGAUGGAGGCCUUCGGGUUGUGAACCUCUUUCGCCAGUGAAGAAGGUCCUGCUCUUUGUGGUGGGGUUGACGGUAGCUGGGUUAAUGAAGCGCCGGCUAACUACGUG
rnacentral:rRNA from 1 species